GGCUGCGGAGAGGGGAGGGUGCUGGAGGAGAGAUGCCAGGGUGAGGGGCUCUGCAUGGCACUGGCUAACAUGGAGGGGACAGGAAUGACGAGAGGAUGCACUGGCAGCAGGAGCACUCGGCAGGAGGAUCGUGGGGCCGGCUCUGCCCCUGUGAGCUUCCCUUUGUCAUCCUAUGCCUGAGCAAUGCCUGGAGGCUGGGACGGUGAAGGGAGGCCCACGGGUGCCACAGCCCUGCGGUGACAACGCCUGGACAGGACAUGAGGGACCAUGGAUAUGGGGCAGGGGGAUGAGUUCUAGUGGGGCUGGAGCACCCUGGGGGGCUGGAGCAUCCCCUUGGAGGGGCAGAGCAUCCCCUUUGGGUGCACAAAGCAUCCCCUCGGGGGGCUGGAGCAUCCCCUUUGGGUGCACAAAGCAUCCCACUGGGGGGCUGGAGCAUCCUUCCCAGGCUGGGUGAUACCCAGUGGGUAGGGACUGUGAGUGUGGGAUGCAGCAACCAUGCCAUUGGCCAGGGAUGUGGAUGGGGAAUUGGGGUGUCACAGAGCACCCCUGGCCAUGGAGGGGCUGGGGAGGGAGCAGAUGCUGCAGCAGGGCCAGGGAGGACUCCCAUGGGGGUUAUGGACCAUGGCAGGAUACAUGAGGAUCAUGUACCAGGAUGGGAUACACUGGGACAGGCCCAUCCCUAUGAAGAGACAACCUGGCAUGAGGACAUCGGAGCAGCUCUGAGGAAGACAAUGGGAAAAUUCCCACAUGGAUGCAGAUAAACCCUGAAACCCCCACUGAGGGGAGCAGAAAUGUGCCCUGGGAGGUGCUUGUGUAGAGGGAUGUAAAACAAGCAAGAGGCAAACACCUGCAGGGAGGGAGGCUCCUGCUACAUGAGCAUCUCCAUCCGGUUUCCUCUCUUUUGGCUCCUUUCCCCCAAAAUCCUCAGCCCAAUUCACCUGGCUGCAGGUUUAUCACAGGGUGGGGAUCAUGGGGGGAGGCAGGGACCCCCUUUGCCUGUGGCUGGGCUGGGGCUGAGGGGUGGGGAUGAGGUAUUGGGGCCACAAGCCCGGAGCAUCCCCUGUGGCAGGUCUGGAGCCCUGGGUUUGGGCUGCAUCCUCUGUUCAAUCCCAGUGUGCUGGGGAGCCCAUCACAGUGUGAGGUCCCCAGGAAGGGGCUGUGGUGGUGGUGAGGGCAGCCCUGAUGUGGGGAUACCCCUUUGCCUGGCUCCCCACCAGCACAGGCUGCUCCUGAGGGGUGCUCCCAUCCAUAGGGAUGCUGGCAUACAUCCCUCUGUGCUGCCCUUUGUCCUACGUGGGGAAGUGAAAGCCUGAGCCCAUUUUCCAUGUAGGAUCCUCUAGGUCUGGACAGAAAUUAAUGGUUUAUAUUCUUUUAUAUUCUUUUGGUUUAUUUUGCCAGCUUGGGAGUUGAGUGAACGUGGGGUGAGAACCAUAAGGAAGGGAAAUGCUAUCAUCCAGUGUGUGCCUGUGCACAGCCCUCUCCCUACAGCCCAAACUAUGUCAAAUAGAUGUAUUUCCAUCACAGAAA